rnacentral:ribozyme from 13 species
GAGAGAAGCGAAAGCGAAGGAAAGAUAGAAAGAUAUCUGUACCUUUCUCUUUUUUCCAGAAUAAUGUAUAUUAUUAUUUACGUUUA